rnacentral:rRNA from 1 species
CCUACGGGUGGCUGCAGUGAGGAAUAUUGGUCAAUGGCCGGAAGGCUGAACCAGCCAAGCCGCGUGAAGGAGGACGGCCCAACGGGUUGUAAACUUCUUUUGUCAGGGGAUAAAAUGAGGCACUCGUGCCUUUUUGAAGGUACUUUGUGAAUAAGGAUCGGCUAACUCCGUGCCAGCAGCCGCGGUAAUACGGAGGAUCCGAGCGUUAUCCGGAUUUAUUGGGUUUAAAGGGAGCGUAGAUGGGUUGUUAAGUCAGGUGUGAAAGUUUGCGGCUCAACCGGAGAAUUGCCAUUGAUACUGGCAGUCUUGAGUGCAGAUGAGGUAGGCGGAAUGCGUGGUGUAGCGGUGAAAUGCAUAGAUAUCACGCAGAACUCCGAUUGCGAAGGCAGCUUACGAAGCCGCCACUGACACUGAUGCACGAAAGUGUGGGUAUCAAACAGGAUUAGAUACCCGAGUAGUC